rnacentral:rRNA from 1 species
AACGAACGCUGGCGGCAUGCCUAACACAUGCAAGUCGAACGAGACCUUCGGGUCUAGUGGCGCACGGGUGCGUAACGCGUGGGAACCUGCCCUUAGGUUCGGAAUAACUCCCCGAAAGGGGUGCUAAUACCGGAUAAUGUCUUCGGACCAAAGAUUUAUCGCCUUUGGAUGGGCCCGCGUUGGAUUAGCUAGUUGGUAGGGUAAAAGCCUACCAAGGCGACGAUCCAUAGCUGGUCUGAGAGGAUGAUCAGCCACACUGGGACUGAGACACGGCCCAGACUCCUACGGGAAGCAGCAGUGGGGAAUAUUGGACAAUGGGCGAUAGCCUGAUCCAGCAAUGCCGCGUGAGUGAUGAAGGCCUUAGGGUUGUAAAGCUCUUUUACCCGGGAUGAUAAUGACAGUACCGGGAGAAUAAGCUCCGGCUAACUCCGUG